rnacentral:rRNA from 1 species
AGUGAACGCUGGCGGUAGGCCUAACACAUGCAAGUCGAACGGCAGCACAGUAAGAGCUUGCUCUUACGGGUGGCGAGUGGCGGACGGGUGAGGAAUACAUCGGAAUCUACUUUUUCGUGGGGGAUAACGUAGGGAAACUUACGCUAAUACCGCAUACGACCUACGGGUGAAAGCAGGGGAUCUUCGGACCUUGCGCGAUUGAAUGAGCCGAUGUCGGAUUGGCUAGUUGGCGGGGUAAAGGCCCACCAAGGCGACGAUCCGUAGCUGGUCUGAGAGGAUGAUCAGCCACACUGGAACUGAGACACGGUCCAGACUCCUACGGGAGGCAGCAGUGGGGAAUAUUGGACAAUGGGCGCAAGCCUGAUCCAGCCAUACCGCGUGGGUGAAGAAGGCCUUCGGGUUGUAAAGCCCUUUUGUUGGGAAAGAAAAGCAGCAGGUUAAUACCCCGCUGUUCUGACGGUACCCAAAGAAUAAGCACCGGCUAACUACGUG